AUGAACGCUGGCGGCGUGCCUAAUACAUGCAAGUCGAGCGAACAGACGAGGAGCUUGCUCCUCUGACGUUAGCGGCGGACGGGUGAGUAACACGUGGAUAACCUACCUAUAAGACUGGGAUAACUUCGGGAAACCGGAGCUAAUACCGGAUAAUAUAUUGAACCGCAUGGUUCAAUAGUGAAAGACGGUUUUGCUGUCACUUAUAGAUGGAUCCGCGCCGCAUUAGCUAGUUGGUAAGGUAACGGCUUACCAAGGCAACGAUGCGUAGCCGAUCUGAGAGGGUGAUCGGCCACACUGGAACUGAGACACGGUCCAGACUCCUACGGGAGGCAGCAGUAGGGAAUCUUCCGCAAUGGGCGAAAGCCUGACGGAGCAACGCCGCGUGAGUGAUGAAGGUCUUCGGAUCGUAAAACUCUGUUAUUAGGGAAGAACAAAUGUGUAAGUAACUAUGCACGUCUUGACGGUACCUAAUCAGAAAGCCACGGCUAACUACGUG
rnacentral:rRNA from 1 species